GUUCUUGUAGCUCAAUGGAUAGCACGUUGGACUUCUAAUCCAAAGGUCGUGGGUUCGAAUCCCACCUGGGAUG
rnacentral:tRNA from 1 species